rnacentral:lncRNA from 1 species
GUAAGGGGAUAUUUACAAUGUUAUUAUCGAUAUUAGAUGAUGCUAACUGUAUAGCAUAGCUUAUUGUUCUUAGCAUAGCACCCCGUUUAUUGCAAAAUGUGAUUUCCCAGUAAAGUUAUUUUGAGAUCUGGCCAUUCGGUAGCAAUUACGAGAUGAUAAUAUAUUAUUCUUUGAAUGACAAUAUUAAAAUUUACCAAUGUUUUCGAAUAGUAAUUUUGUUAUGUUCACCGGAAGCAUUUCAGAGAAGAAAAAAUCUGAAUUUCACGCUACUGUAAAAUGCUGUUUUUGGAUAUAAAUAUGAACUUGAUGGAACAAAAAAUGCAUGUAUUGUAUAACAUAAUGUCCUAGGAGUGUCAUCUGAUGGAGAUUGACAAAGGACAAUGACCCAAAACACACCCCCAGGUUGUGUAAGGGCUAUUUGACCAAGAAGGAGAGUGAUGGAGUGCUGCAUCAGAUGACCUGGCCUCCACAAUCCCCCGACCUCAACCCAAUUGAGAUUGUUUUGGAUGAGUUGGACCGCAGAGUGAAGGAAAAGCAGCCAACAAGUGCUCAGCAUAUAUGGGAACUCCUUCAAGAUUGUAAGGAAAAGCAUUCCUCAUGAAACUGGUUGAGAGAAUGUCAAGAGUUUGCAAAGCUGUCAUCAAGGCAAAGGGUGGCUACUUUGUAGAAACUCAAAUAAUUUAUAAUUUAUUUUGAUUUGGUUACUACAUGAUUCCAUAUGUGUUAUUUAUUCUACAAUGUAAAAAAUAGUAAAGAUAAACAAAAACCCUUGAAUGAUUAGGUGUGUCCAAACGUUUGACAGGUACUGUAUAUUAAUAUAUAUAAAAAAUAUAUAUACAUACAUAUAUACAUACAUACAUACAUACAUAUACAUAUACAUAUACAUAUACAUAUACAUAUACAUAUAUAUAUAUCGGUCCCUCUCCCGAACAAGGAGAGGGACCGACUUUGGCGGAAGUCGUGACACCUACAUCAUUUUGAGUUAUGAAAAAAAAAAAAUCCCAACGAAGUCAAGACAGUUCAGUGAAAGGGAAUUGAUGAACUGAUGAAAUAAAAUACAAAUAUUGAGGCUUCACUGCGUGUAACAGCACUCUGCUCUUCUCUAAUUACAUUUAAAUAGAAGUGGAACUAUUUUUGGUAUAACACUCAUAGUGCCAGAAGCACUUCCCAGUUUAUCUUGCCUGUCAGAAUGGGUGAAUCACAGAUACUUUAUGAAGAAACAGCCAUGAGGGACUUACUGAUCCCAUUAGAAACACAGAGGGACAAAUGAAACACUAAUUAAAAAUGAUAUUUUUUUACAUUAUUAAUUCUGUAGUUUCAAACUUAAUGAAUAUGAAACGACAAGGAUACUAUAUAUAUUUUUUUUAUAAAUACAGUACACGUCUGCCACCACUAGCUCCUACAGGACAAGCUAGGAACUAGGAUACAAUUGGGUGAAAGCAGUGUUGUGGAAUGAUUUUGGUAACAGUAGCUGUAAUGAAUGUACCCUAGAACCACUCAAAGUCACUAUCAGAUUUUCUUUGCUCAGUGUCCCAUUCUGUGGGGAAAAAGAUUGUUUGCAAUCUGCCUGAAUUAUCAGACAUUCACAUGAAAGAAAAGAAACACAAGCAUGAGGGGUGUAUAUAGGAAGGAAACUGUUCAUAUCUAAAUCAUGGUUAUUCUGUCUAUUGUUCCUUUGAGUGCUAGCAGCACAGUACGACACAGAGACAGCAGCAGCAGUUCUCUGUAUAGAGGGGUCUGGGCUAUAAGACAGUAGUUCUCUGUGUAGAGGGGUUUGGGCUAUAAGACAGUAGUUCUCUGUAUAGAUGGGUUUGGGCUAUAAGACAGUAGUUCUCUGUAUACAGUAGUCUGGGCUAUAAGACAGUAGUUCUCUGUAUAGAGGGGUCUGGGCUAUAAGACAGUAGUUGUCUGUAUAGAGGGGUCUGGGCUAUAAGACAGUAGUUCUCUGUAUACAGUAGUCUGGGCUAUAAGACAUUAACAUCCCUGUUCCCCUCCAACAUAUUCUCUGCAGGAUAUUCAUUGUUGUACAGCC